rnacentral:snoRNA from 14 species
GGCCUCAUUGUAGAUGAGAAUGGGCACUGUUAAACAUGGUGUCCAAAAACUGUUAAUGUGGCUAAAUUGAGAUACAGGUUAUGCUUCCAUCACAGCAAAUGAAUUGCAGUGGUGACAAUGAGACCUGUAACAAUU